GAUGAACGCUGGCGGCGUGCCUAAUACAUGCAAGUCGAGCGGACAGACGAGGAGCUUGCUCCUCUGACGUUAGCGGCGGACGGGUGAGUAACACGUGGAUAACCUACCUAUAAGACUGGGAUAACUUCGGGAAACCGGAGCUAAUACCGGAUAAUAUAUUGAACCGCAUGGUUCAAUAGUGAAAGACGGUUUUGCUGUCACUUAUAGAUGGAUCCGCGCCGCAUUAGCUAGUUGGUAAGGUAACGGCUUACCAAGGCAACGAUGCGUAGCCGACCUGAGAGGGUGAUCGGCCACACUGGAACUGAGACACGGUCCAGACUCCUACGGGAGGCAGCAGUAGGGAAUCUUCCGCAAUGGGCGAAAGCCUGACGGAGCAACGCCGCGUGAGUGAUGAAGGUCUUCGAAUCGUAAAACUCUGUUAUUAGGGAAGAACAAAUGUGUAAGUAACUAUGCACGUCUUGACGGUACCUAAUCAGAAAGCCACGGCUAACUACGUG
rnacentral:rRNA from 1 species